rnacentral:rRNA from 1 species
UGGGGAAUUUUGGACAAUGGGCGAAAGCCUGAUCCAGCAAUGCCGCGUGUGUGAAGAAGGCCUUCGGGUUGUAAAGCACUUUUGUCCGGAAAGAAAUCCUUGGCUCUAAUACAGUCGGGGGAUGACGGUACCGGAAGAAUAAGCACCGGCUAACUACGUGCCAGCAGCCGCGGUAAUACGUAGGGUGCAAGCGUUAAUCGGAAUUACUGGGCGUAAAGCGUGCGCAGGCGGUUUGCUAAGACCGAUGUGAAAUCCCCGGGCUCAACCUGGGAACUGCAUUGGUGACUGGCAGGCUAGAGUAUGGCAGAGGGGGGUAGAAUUCCACGUGUAGCAGUGAAAUGCGUAGAGAUGUGGAGGAAUACCGAUGGCGAAGGCAGCCCCCUGGGCCAAUACUGACGCUCAUGCACGAAAGCGUGGGGAGCAAAUAGGAUUAGAUACCCUGGUAGUCCACGCCCUAAACGAUGUCAACUAGUUGUUGGGGAUUCAUUUUCCUUAGUAACCGUAGCUAACGCGUGAAGUUGACCGCCUGGGGGAGUACGGUCGCAAGAUUAAAACUCAAAGGAUUGACGGGGUCU